GAUGAACGCUAGCGGCAGGCUUAACACAUGCAAGUCGAGGGGUAGAAGCAGCUUGCUGCUUUGAGACCGGCGCACGGGUGCGUAACGCGUAUGCAAUCUACCUUUUACAGAGGGAUAGCCCAGAGAAAUUUGGAUUAAUACCUCAUAGUAUGUGAGAAUCGCAUGGUUUUCACAUUAAAGUUCCAACGGUAAAAGAUGAGCAUGCGUCCCAUUAGCUAGAUGGUAAGGUAACGGCUUACCAUGGCGACGAUGGGUAGGGGUCCUGAGAGGGAGAUCCCCCCACACUGGUACUGAGACACGGACCCAGACUCCUACGGGAGGCAGCAGUGAGGAAUAUUGGACAAUGGGGCGGCAAGCCUGAUCCAGCCACUGCCGCGUGCAGGA
rnacentral:rRNA from 1 species